GCCUCAUUGGCUCAGAGACAGAGCGUCUGUCUUGUAAAAAGGCGGUUUUUGUAAACAGAAGGUCCCUGAUUCGAUUCCAGCAUGAGGCA
rnacentral:tRNA from 1 species